rnacentral:pre_miRNA from 1 species
AAAAAGACAAACCCUGGUUUCCAUGCCCAACGUUUGACCGUCCGUCUUAUUUGAAAAAAAUUAAAAAGACAAGUCACGCAUAAAAUAUUAAUCAUGUUUUAUCAUCUAACAACAAUGAAAAUACGAAUUAUAAAAAAAUUUCACAUAAGACGGACAGUCAAAGUUGGACACGGAAACCCAGGGUUUGCCUUUUU